rnacentral:lncRNA from 1 species
GUAGGAGUCCUCUCCGCCGAUCCCCAACGCCGCCGCAAACGCCGUUCUCGUCGUCGUCGUCGUCGUCGUCGUCGUCGCCGCCGCCGCGUUUUGCUUCGUCUUCUCCGAUAUCAUCGCAGGAAUCGCGUUCCCGUAAGCGAUUUCUCUCCUCCUCUUAACCUUUUUAUUUAUUUUUUUUUAUUUUCCUUUUUUUUCCCUAGUAAGGGUGCGGAAGAGGAGGCGGGGAUCUUUCUUUCUAUAUAUUUAGCGCUGCUCCUGCACACACGCAUCUCUCUGUCUCUCUCUCUGCGGGUUUUACCUGGGGGAGAGAGAGAGAGAGAGAAAGAAAGGAGUUGGUAGCUGCCCGUAACGAAGCAGAGCCUGGGGCCCACAGAAAAUGAUUGAGGAGCCCGAGGUGGGCCCCGGUGGGGCCCGCCAGAGGCGGAAUCCACGUCAUGUUGUGCGCUCUGACGAGCGGAUUGCCUGAACCGUGUGUAACUGCACUCUGUGAGCCAUGAAUUCUCGAGGCGGCAAAAUAGAUUUCUUAUUACUGUUUACUAACUAGUCCUUUUUUGUUAUUAAUUUUUAAUUAAGGUGUUUUAUCCCUGAGGGUGUGUUUAGUUCCUCGUAAAAUCACUCUAAAAAUUUUAUUUUAGUUGAAAAAUAUAAUUCCCGUGUUUGGUGGCUAGUAAAAAAAUUUUUUCAGAGGUUCGCUCCACCUCUUGAACCGCGUGAGAAGAGGUCCACGAUGAACCUCUCUCUCUCUCUCCCUCUUUAUAUAUAUAUAUAUAUAUAUAUAUAUAUAUAUAUAUAUAUAUAUAUAGAGAGAGAGAGAGGUCGCGACUACUAUUUUAUUAAUAGCAUGAAGCACUUGGUGUUACCGAAUUUUUUUGAGCCCGCGGCGUAGCGCCCGAGGCCGCCCCCGUUAAGAUCUACAAUUUUAAUCAUUUUCACGCCGUUAGAUCUACUCAUUUUAUCUUUUCGACCGUUAGAUCAUACUAUUCAACCAAUCCAUCCACCUCAAUUUAAGAGGAACAUCAUCAUCCAACCGCAACGCUUUAACAUCAAUGGCCAAAAACUUGGUAGACCAAUAACUUGGUGCUAUUAAUACAUAUACCUAUAUAUACUAUAUAUAUUAUAUAUAUUAUGAUAUUAUAUUUAUAUAGUUCGGUGGAUAACACUACGAUAACACAAAAUAUUUGGUGCUAUCAAAUUUCUGGCGCGUAGAUUUAGUCUUCUUUAUUAUUUUAAUGCCGUUCGACUUAUACUAUUAACCAACCACAACACUCACCUUAAUAAGAGCCCUACAUUCAUUCUUAAUCACACCACACAUCUUUUAAUCCAAGGGCAGAAAACCUUAAAUAGCAACAAGUCAACUGUGUGUAUUAAAUAGUAUUCAGCCUAGUUAUAUAUAUAUAUAUAUAAAUUUAUUUUAUAGUGAUUAUAAAUAUAAUACUACUAUAUAUCUAUAUAUAAAACUACUAUAAGCACAUUAGCUACUAUACUUAUCAAAUAGUAUCAAACCCUUGAUACUAUGAGAUUUUUGCGCUGUUGAAUGAAAAGAUAGCGGUUAGGAUGAUAAGCCGGUCCCCGGUAUAAAAUUAAUAGGUCCCUAGGGUUGAGAUGGCGUGGUUGGUUUAAUUAGUAUAGAUCUAACGGAUAGACAAUGAAUCAAAGGGGAUCUAACAGUAGACAAACUCAUAAUACACCAAGGGCUUGUACUAUCGAUAGUAUAGUAGCCGACCUAUAUAUAUAUAUAUAUAUAUAUAUAUAUAUAUUAUAUAUAUAUAUAUAUAUAUAUUAUUGUAGCAAUAUAUUUUAAAAUAUUUUAUUUCAAAUAUAAAUUAUAAAUAUUAAAAUAUAUAAUAAUAAUAAUUAUUAUAUAAAUUUAAAAAUAUAUAAUAUACUAAAUAUUAUAUAAUACUAUAUAUAUAUAUAUAUAAUAUAUAUAUAUAUAUAUAUAUAGAGUAAUUUUUUAUUUAUAACUAACUUUUUUCUUUUUUUUUUCCUUUCAAUCAAACAAUCGUAAUGAAAAAUUACUUUUUUUUUUCCUAUAAACCAAACGCUAAAAGUGUAAAAUUUAUUUUCCUCCGAAAUUUUGUUUUCACCGAAAAUUUUUUUUUUGCAGUUUUACGAGGAACCAAACAGCCCUAAUGAUAGAUUUUAGAGUGAAAAUUUUUUUGUACACAAACAUUUUAUAUGUUUUAAGAUCAUAUUUGUAGGCUAACCCUCGUUUGCUGUUAAGGUUCUAUAUAAUUUAAUUUAAUACAUUGGAGAAAUGGCUUCGAUUUUAUUGGUACUGUUGAUUAGCUUAUUGAUCUAACUAAGUGAUAAAUAAUAAUUUAUUUAAGAAAAACUAUGAAAAUAUAAAAAUUUAUUCCCAAGAUUUAACUUUUUUAUUGUUUAAUAAAUAUCUUAAAAAAAAAGAUUACAACCAAUCUACUAUCUAUUCUUACACCUAUUUACAUAUAAAUAGUUAUUUCAAAAAAUAAAAAAUAAACAGGACAGCAAAUGAGACCUAAAUUUUUAAUUAUAGAUUGUUAAUCAAUAAAUAUUAGGAUUAAUUUCCUAUAGAUCCCUGCAAAUAUAGUGAAUGAUAAAUAUAUAUAUAUAUAUAUAUAUAUAUAUAUAUAUAUAUAUAUAUAUAUAUAUAUAUAUAUAUAUAUAUAUAUAUAUAUAUAUAUAUGCUACUAUANNNNNNNNNNNNNNNNNNNUAUAAGAGAGAUAAAAAUAUUAAAAACUAAUCAGAAUUAAAUAUUUAAUCUAUAGUUAACUAAAUUUUUCUAACGGAUUCUAACGGUAGGAAUGUAUUUGAGGACAAUAUUAAGACUGUUGUAGGGAUCAUAUAUGAAAAUUGAACUUUAUAAAAAUAUAUUUAUUAUUUACUAUAUUUACAUGAACACGUGUGAAAUUAAUCCUAAAUAUUUUAUACUGUACUGUGGCGUGUAUAUACACUCCCGGUCCAGAAAAAUAAUUUCUCCGGAUUUGUGGCCUCUCGCAUGUGGACUCGGCCAGCUGUCACGCACCAAUUACGGUCGAGCCGUAUUAGGUUAGUAUGUCUUUGCUGAAACGCCAACAUCUGGGUUUUAUAUAAGCAUAUUAUUAUUAUUUCCUUAAAAAUGAUUGAUUUAAACUUGUAAUGAUUAUUUAUUGAGAAACUUUUUGAGGACUACAUUCGUGUCACCUAAAUUUUAUUUUUUCUCUUUCCUGGGGCAAGCCUUUACAAGAUGAUUUUUUUUUUUUAAAAAAAAAUGUUUUAGCAAUAGAUAUAUCUUUAUGAUUGUAAUAUGAAAAAAGAAAAUAUUUUGUGUUCCUAAAAUUCCGUUCUUUUUUAUAGUUUUAUACAACAACAAAUUGCAUGGCAAUCUUUAAAGUUGUUUUUGUUAAUCAAUUAAAAAUCUACAGUUUAUCUAUAUUGUAUAAGGACAACAUUCUCUUAAACCUGUAGUAGUAUUCUAAUAUCUAAAACCUUCCUUUGAAUUAUUUUUGUAUAUAACUUAGGUUUGUUACACUAGCUUCUAAUAGGGUCUUCUCUCUCUCUCAUUCUAACCAUCCAUCAAAAUUUUCAUUAAUGCAUGUAAGGAGCUAUCUGAUUGCAUGCAGUUACAACGAUAAUACAUUCGAUGUUAAAAAAGGUGCAAUUAAUUAAGUCCCACUCUUGUAGGAAAAAAAAAAACUUAUAUUAGGAGUAAUUUUUAUCACUGCACAUAUAAAAUGACAAAAUUUAUAAAUAUAAUUUCAUCUGCAUAUAUACAACCCAAUAGAUUAUUUAUUAUUACAAUGUUUUGGACUACAUCCAAUAAAAAAGAAAUGCAUAUAAUUAUAAUUGCUAUAUCUUUAAUUUGACGCAUGCAUUUUUAACUUAUUAAACUGCAUUCACAGUUAUAUCCAAUCCAAUGGCCCCCAAAGUACAAAAAUUGAUACAAUAUAUUAUAACGUUAGGUUUGAUUCAUAAUGACAUGAAGGUCCCAUGGAUUUGGCGAGAGAAAAACACGGCCUUAUUCAUAAUGACAUGAAGGUCCCAAGGAUUUGGCGUGACAAAAACACGGCCUCAUACAACACGAAGAGACAAUAAUACAGCAAGCCUCAAGAUAUGCAGUUGAAACAUAGUUUUCGCAUUAAUAUGCACUUUAAUUCAUUGUAUUCGAUAGGGUGAAUAUGUCGCGACAACUCUUUCCUGCACUUAAGGAGAGUAACAAAAGCUAUAUAUAAUUUGGUUACAAAAUUAUUUUCAAUGUUUACAUUAUGAUAUCUUGCCACCAUUUCCAUAUUCACUACUAUUGAGUGAUCCUAUAUAUAAUGUACUUUUUAAUAAGUGGAUUUUACAAAUAACAUAAGAAAUACAUAUAUAUAUAUAUAUAUAUAUAUAUAUAUAAUAUAUAUAUAUAUAUAUUAUAUAUAUAUAUAUAUACAUAUAAUAUAUAUAUAUAGGCCAUGGCUACUAUACUAUUAUGAGUAUUGGAGCCCUCGUACUAUAAGUUGUUUUCGAUGAUGGAACUUUCGAAUCGACAAUCCACUCCGUUAAAUGUGAUCUAGAGUAUUUGAAACUUCUAGAAAAUAAAUUUCGUAAAUUUUUGAAAUCAUAAUAGAAUCCAUCAAGCGGCAUAAAUGAACGGUCAAAAUCGAACAACGUCCUAAAAAGCAUGAUCGAUCAUUCAAUUCAAGAUCGAGUUAUUGAUCUUAUCUAUAUAGUGAAUAAAUUUUCUAUCAAAAAUUCAACAAUUCAAUUCUUUUACACCGCUAAACUAGUAAGUAUUUCAUACUCGCCAUUAAAAAUUGUCAAAUUUGUGACCUCUUGAUUGUAAGGCAAAUGAUGUCGAAAAAUUAUAAAAUUUGAUUCUAGAAGUUUUAAAUGCUGUAAAUAACGUUUAACGGUGUGGCUCGAUCGAUUCGGAAGCUCUAUCAUCGAAAACAACUUAUGAGUACGGAGGACGAUCGUAUCAUAAUAGUAUACGUAGCCGGACUUUUAUAUAUAUAUAUAUAUAUAUAUAUAUAUAUAUAUUAUAUAUAUAGAGUCUGGCUACUAUGCUAUUAAUGAGGCAACAAAGCACUUGGUGCUACCAAGUUUUCCGCCGUUAGAUCUACCCUUGUGAUCAUUUUCACCCGUUAGAUCAUACUAUUCAAUCAACCACCCACUCAACCCUAGGGGGCCCACAUUAUCCUAACCACACAUCUCUUAAUCCAAUGGCCAAAAACUUGGUAGCACCAGUGACUUGGUGCUAUUAAUAGCAUAGUAGCCUAGUUCUAUAUAUAUAUAUAUAUAUAUAUAUAUAUAUCAAAUCAUAUUAUGGGACUUUAAAUUAAAAAUGAAAGCUUUAAACAUAUUAAUUAUGGGACUUUAAAUUAAAAAUGAAAGCAGUUUAAAGUUGGCUCUAAAACUAUGUAACCACUACAAUGAGUCCGCUCACAAACUUGUUUGAUCAAGAAGCUUUUGCGUCGGCAAGAUACACUUGCAUUGUAAGGGCAGUUUUUGAUGACGCUUGCGAAAAGCAUCCCCAAGCAUUCCCAUUAUAUAGAAAACACAUAUGCUUCAAAAACCGUCGUUAUAUGAAUAUCAAAAUUAAUUUCUUCACGUAGUAAAUUAUACUAUUACUUUUAUUUUGUGAUGCUUUAAGUCAUCGGACUAUAUCUCAUCGAUGCAUGACAUAAACAUUGGUAUACAUACGGCGACUUCUCAUUUACCGACGCCUUUUCAUGUGCACAGUAGAUUAAUUUAGAAUGCUUUUAAGAAUCAUUAAUUAUUACAAAAACAAUGUCCUUAGAUAUUAUUUUUCUCAUAGCUAGUGUUCGUGCCGAGCCUGUUGUUUGGCACGACAGAUUCGACUGCUACGGCAGUCUACGAGCCAAAACACUGCAUCUAUGCAUGCAGUACCUUUUCUUACCGCGCGCAAUACGUACGUACGGUGCGAUGCAGUGAAAGAUCCGACCGACCUCCAAGCUGGGCAGAAGUGGCCAUGCCAAACAACCUUUACGACGGCCUGAAGGGGGUUAAAACACGACACUGAAAUCAAAUGCUUGGUCUCAUCUAGGGCGGGCACUGUAUUUUCUGCUCCUCGAACAGUGCCGCAUGAGAAAGGGUUAAAUGAGCACUACGAAAGAUGGCUUUUGUACAGAUGAAACAAUCAGGCAUGAAGAGUCUUCUUGCAAGCAUGCGCCAACGUAGGGAUGGAGCUUUGUCACAACCUGCGCAGAUGUGAGAACCGACAAAGAGUAGCAUGUGCUUGUGCUCUAUGAUCCAUGUGAGAUGCUCUUGGACCAUACACAGGGCUCUAGAGUCUUGUCCCUCUCUAGGUACACAUUAAUUGUCCCCUCUCUCUCUCUCUCUCUCUCUCUCUCUCUCUCUCAGGAGUACUUUCAGGUGCGUUUGGUUCGCACUAUAAAAGAUUACUAGGAGUAAAAAGAUAUUCGAAAAUUUUAUUCCUAUUCAUUCUAUUACUAAGAAUAUAGUAUUUCGGUGUUUGAUUCGUACGGUCGUAUUAUUUAGUCAUGUUAUUUAAGAUUACGAAAAAUAUACAAUUAACUUAUUUAUUUUUUAAAUUAAUUUUCAAUAAUAUUAUAAAAAAUUUCAACAUCCUUUUAGAAAAAAGAGGGAGAGAAUAUAGGUUAGAAAGAGAGAGCAUAAUUAAAGAAAUGUGAAGAGAAAUAGAAUCGAGAUUGGAGAGAAUGAGAGGGUUGAGAUUUUAGAAAAAGAGGGAGAGAAAUAGCUUAGUUUAGAGAGAGAAAAAGAGUUGAAGUUUAGAGAGAGAUAUAAGAUUAGAGUGUAAAGAAAAAUAAUACCAACUAGCCGACUGAUGGGAAGAAAGAAAGAGAUUAGACAUAUUAUAAUUACUCCAAUCCAUUAAUAUAUAUAAGGAAAUCUACCAUCUCUCAAAGGAAUGAGAUUAGUACUUUGGGAUGCAUCUCAUUCUCAAGUAAAUCCAGUAUUACCUACUAGAUUACUUAGUGCGUUUAGCCAAACACCGCCAUUUUUUUUAUUCCUAUUAGAUUAUUAGGAAUCUUAAAAAGAUAGUGUGAACCAAACGCACCCUCAGGGUAAUAUAUAUGAUCCUAAUCUUAGCACAGCAUAAUAAAUUAUCAUUGAUUAGAGGAAUUGGCUGAUAUAUAUCUUAUCUACAUAGCGGCGAAUCAAAUUCAAAUCUUACUUCUUGUUGAAUAUAAUUAUUAAAACCAUCAUUCUCCAGCAGCUUAAACUCUUAGAUAUUAACAGUUGUUUUAUUUGAUUUAACACUUCUUGAAAAAAUUAAAGGUAUAUGCAUUGCAGCUCAAGGUGAUAUCUCAAAAUGACAAUUUUAGAAAAAUAAUAGUGUGGUGCUAGCCGUAGGUUUCGCAGAAUGCACACUACAACAGAAUUAGGUUAUAGGGAUAUAUGUUUGGGACACUUUUGUGUAAGUGUCCCAUUUAUGCCAAAACUUAAAAAUAAAUCUACUAAUGCCUAAAUAUAAAGCUCAAUCCAACCAAAAAUAAAAAUGUUACUUUUCUCAACCCACCCCACCCAGCCCAUUCAAUCCGAUUACAAAUAGAAAAGAAAAAAAAAAAGAAAAAUCGAUUACCAUCUCCCCUUCUCUCCUCACUCAAUCCACUAAAAUCCUAGACGAAGAUCCCUUCCUCUUGUCCUUCUCCGCCACCGCAGCCAACGAGGUAGAGUUCCGACGGUUGCUAAAUGCUUAAAUAAGUAUUGGUAAAUUAGCAGCACUCUUUUACGUUAUUGCGACACUCUUUAAUUGUCACUAUAUUCCCAGCGACCCCACAUAUAGCAAUACUUUUUAAAAGUGUCGGUAAUUUAGCCAGCAACACUUUUUUUGACCUAUACUGACAUUUAAAAGUGUCGCUAUAGACCGUUUUUGUUGGAGUGGCAAUCUUUUAUAAGUAGUUGUUAGGAUUUGGUUAGAUUUAUAUAUAGUUGAUUUCUAGUUGAUUAAUUAGCAUAAAUAUUUAAAUCUAGUAGGGAUAAAUUAAUUUGAAUUUAGAUAUUCUAAUUAGAGAAUGAUUGAUAGUUUUAAAUUAAGUAGUCUAAUACAAAAGAGUCUACAAGAUAAGGCUUUAGGUUAGCCUCAUCCUGUAUGGGCAGCUAUUGAUCAUUAUUGUAUUAGAAUUAGAAUUGGAUGUUGACAUUACAUGGAGUAGGCUAAUUGUGCUAAAGGUGUACGGCCGAAGGCUGCUCCAAGACGUUAUUGUACGGCAGAAGGCAUGGAAUACGAGAGAAAAGCUUGGCUGCAUCUAGUGCAUGGGCGCACAUGGAGAGCUGUCUUUUGGAUUUAUAAAAAACAAGAGAAUGAUGAAAAAUUCAGAAAAAAAAAUUUGAGUUGAAAUUACUCUAUUGCAGCAGAAGAGUCAGUCAUAAUUUUUUCUUAAUUAGUGAAUCUUAUUUUAUCCGCAUAAUUUUUUUAUUUAGUUUUUUUUUUCUCUUUUUUGGUUGUAUUAUCUUUUGCUAAGAAAACGGGUGUAUGGUAAAAAUUCGAUUUAAUUUAAUAUAUUAUGUAAGGACUGAGAUUUUUGACAGUGUAACUAAACUCUCGGUUGAUGAUAUUUAUGUGUGUAAUUUAAUUACAUAAGCACUCGUCAAGUUUCAGGAGAAACUGAGCUAAAACGGAGAAGUUACGCGAUUAUUAGUUUUCACUUAAAGUGAAUAGUAACUCUGGUUUUCCGGAGAAGCCAUAGAGUAGAGUUGGCUUUCGGCGCGUAUCGGACUCCGAGCUUAGGACUCCAAUAGCUCGUUUCGACCGGUUCAGCUGUUCUGGGACUAUUGGCGCUGACGGAUUUUGAGUUUGAUGCACGGAUUUCGAGAAAAUCCAAUAAAACGUGUUUUAUAUGUAUUUGUGCGUGAUUUUUGGCCUUUUGGACAGAGAGUGGAUUUCGUCGCAAAUCCGCGACCGUUUGAGGUGAAACGAAAUCGUAGCUUUGUUGUCUCCGAGGUGCUGAUCGCACUGGUGCGAUCCGUUCGCAAAUCCGACGGACGGAUCUGCGGAGAUCGCACGUUGAUCGAGGGGAGGUCGGUGAGGGCAAAUUGGUAUUUUUGCGAAAGUCGCGAUAUUUUAUGUACCAUUUUGUGUGAGAUCGCACGUGGAGGGGUAUUCAGGCAUUUUACUCAGGCUGGGAUGGAUUUAGCUUGAAAUAGUAAGUCUAGGUGGACUUUCUUGCAAUUUUGCGCCGUACUUAUAUUGUUUUCUAGGGUUUUUCUUGAGAUCCGAGCCCUAGAUCAUCCCUAGUUAACCCUAACCGCACCCCAGCCACGUUCUUGCCUCCCUCUGACCUAGCCGCACGACUCCCGGCCGCCGCCGACUUAUCUCCGGCCAGGCACCACCACCCCAACCUUUUCUUUCCCUCUCCCUCUCUUGUUCCCACCUUCCUUCUCCAGCGGCUUGGACCCGAGCAGGGGGAGGACUCUAAACCUCCUCCCUCGGCCGCCUCCACCCUCCCUCGACCGCAGGCACGCAGCCGCCGUCGCCCCGAGCCGCCCGGAGCACCGCCGUAGCCGCUCCAGCCAGCAGCAGCCGCCCCAGCCCGAGCCCAGGCCGAGGCAAGCCUGCGGCCUUUUUCUCUGCACCGCCGCCAUCGUGACCACCCCGGCUGACUCCCCGGAGCCCCGGCAUCCCUCCUCGCCGACUGCCGCCGCCCCUGCGGGCUGCUGCCGCCGCUGCGGCCAUCCUGCAGCUGCCCCAGGUCUACUCGGGCCGAGCAGACCUGGUAGCUCCACCCUCGCGCCGCAGUCCCUUUUUCCACCCAUGCGGCCUCCGUCUCAACCUCCGGCACCCCCACCCCCGUCCGGAGAUGUCGCCACCGCCGCCGCGCGCCGUGGGCGCCGCCGCCCCGGUCUCCUGACCGAGCCAAUUUCGGGUGGCUGCGCCCGAGCCGCGGGUUGCCGCCGCCCUUGCCGGCUGCCUCCCUCCUCGUCCUUCGACCUCGAGCGACCCCUCGCCGUCGGCCCGAGGUGCCCCGGCCACCGCCGAGAGCUGCGUGCCACCCUGGACCCGAGCCGAACCUGGUGCGGGCUGGGUUGGUUCCACCGUUGCCGCCGCCGCUCCUCGUCGCCACCUGAGGUGAGCACCACGUUCCUCACCUCUCCCGCACCCAUCCCUGGCCCCCGUGCGCGCCUCCAUGCCGCCGGAAGCCGGCCGGAGCAAGCUUGCUCCGGCCAAGCCCGAAAUAGGGUUUUUAGGGAGUGGGUUGCCGUUUUGUGCUUUCUAGGGCUUCUCGACCCCUACGGAAGGGAGCACGGUGAUCGUGGCAAAUUGCUGAUCAUCGUGCUCACCUUAGAUUUUGUUGGGGAGACUCCAUUCUGCUGUUUUCGCUGGGUCGACCCCGUGGAGCCUGUUUGGCUACUGUUUUGGGUUUGCGCGCGCUUAUCCGGCGAUCCGAGGCUGUCUUGAUGCCUCCGGAGGUGAGCACGGUGAUCGUUGGUCUGUCCCGAUCACCUUGCUCACCUCACUUUGGAUCAACAGUGUCCGGUCAGCCCUGUUUGGUGCGAUCUUCCCCGACUGCGCGCUGUUCGCAGAACUUCGAGUUGCUCCCGCGCUUCCCACAGUGACCUGUUGCGCUUCAGACCGUGAGCACGGCCUCCGGCACGUCGAGACCUGUCAGUACGUGUCUCGGCGGAACUUAGAGGUCCUCAGUUUGUGAGAACGAGUCAUAGGAGUCGCCCGAUUUACAUAAAAUGAUGGAUUUUAUGUAAACAUAGGGGCUUUUGUGCAAUUGUACGCCUUGUGGCUACUGUAGGCAGUAUGUAAGAGUGUGUUUGACCUCUGGACUGAUUGUCCAUGAUCCUGUAGCUUUCACGGAAAUCGAAAGGUCGAUUUCGGUGCGUUUUUCGACGAAAUUCGUCGAAAGAACGCGAUUUCGAUUCGGAUUCUUUUCGACGGUGUUUGUUUGCUUUGUGUUUUGUCGCUGAGCCUUGUUGGCUGGUCACCAUCAUUAUUUUGUAGGUUCGAUGAUGAUAGGUGAGCGACGGAGGGUUCCGGUGUCGAAAUAGACACUUUCGGGAACCCGGAUUCGUACAAUUAUCCGGCGAUAAUUGUGUAGGGGUGUUAUCUUGUGUUUGCUGCCAAAACAUCCAAAUUGGAGUGUUUUGGGGCAGCAGGUGACUCGUGACACGAGUCGGUGAGUUUCGGGACACUUAGUGGGUCCCGACGGCGUCCCGGUGUGGUUUUCGGGACUUCCGGCGAGUUACGGUAAUCGGUAUUGGGAAACCGAUCUUCGUGGAAUCGGUUUGUGGUGUUGUGGAUACUGUAAUUAUUAGUUGUGGUUAGAUGCUAACCCGGUGACCCUCUAUAGGUCCUGUCGACUUUCUUUCGCAGUCAGGAGACAGACGCGACAUCCGUACAGGUGGGUAUUCGAUCCGACGUCGGUAAAGUGGUGCACGCUCGGUGAUAUUCUCCUAUCCCUGUUCUCUCUGUUAUUACUAUUGCGUAGUGUAGCUUAUUGAGCAUCGCACCCCCCAUUGUCUAAUCUUACUCUACUCAUUGUUUGCAUGAUUAGUAUCCUGAGUAGGAGUAGAGUAGUUAUACUAUAUUUUCUUGUUACUCUACUUGCCUGUUUUACAUAUCUUGGGUCAUGUUUAUAGUAGAGCGGUUCCGUGACUAUCUAUGAGAUCUGUGACCUAGGCGGUCGAUUCUAGUACCCAUACUUGUGACUUAUCGGUGAUUCCGUCCUUGACUUUGUUUGUCCGAUGACCUUUGAGGUCGUGAUCCCUGGGGGUAGGAUUGUCGCUAUGGCCGACGGUAGUUCUAGAUUGUAUACUCAGAUGACUUGUUGAUCGAUUCUUGCAUAUAUAUAGUAUUGACCUAUUGAUCAGUAGCUACAUACUUUUGGUAGGGGUGUUGAGUUGUUCCAUCCUAGUUGACCUGAGUGGUUGGUUCUUGUGCUUCUUACAGUUGAUGACCUAUGCGGUCGAUAGGCCUGGGCAGGAUUGUCGGCUGGUUGCCGACGGUUGAUCAUUGACCAUAUUGCAUUGAUCGCCCGAUCUCGUUGCAUUCACAGAACACUGGCGGUCUGAUCCACGCAAGGAGUGUUCUUUUCCGGAAAAGUGGUUGAAUGGUGACAACCCGUGAGCCCUAGAGGGGUUAUAUGCAUGUUAGAGCGGCAGUGGUACUUCGGAGGUGUUGCGGUGCGGACCUCCAGGGCAUUGGCUUGAGGUCUGCGUGCUGACCAAGAGAGCAUUUAGUUUCAGAUUGGUACUUUUGGACUUCUUGACCGGUUGACGCAUAUGUCUAUAGCAGCAGUCAUUGCAUGCAUACUUAUAGUUCUUACUUUAUAAUGUCUUGCUACUAUAGUAGAUAUUCAUAUAUGCUUUCUGUUUUAGUUAUUAGUACGGUAGCCGUUUAUUCAGUAUAGUUCUCUCUUCCUUUCAGUUAUCGCUAUUGUAUAUCUGCUCAUUACUUGUUUUAUUUCCACUGACCCAUGUUGUUGUGAUAGUUCUUCCUGACCGGUGAGUACUCCUCGCCUUCUUCGGCUUGCGUACCACUGGAGGGAGACAUGUUUACAUGUUCUCACCUCCCCCACCAUUUUUCAGGUAUCGCGGGUGUUGAGUAGUGGGACGAGACGUGAGGUACGUGUGUAGCGGACGAUAGAGCUUCCGACCAGUUAUUUCGGUAUAGUUAUUACCUUAGUAUUUCAGUUGUUAUAGCUUAGA